AUUGAACGCUGGCGGCAGGCCUAACACAUGCAAGUCGAACGGUAACAGGAAUCAGCUUGCUGAUUCGCUGACGAGUGGCGGACGGGUGAGUAAUGUCUGGGAAACUGCCUGAUGGAGGGGGAUAACUACUGGAAACGGUAGCUAAUACCGCAUAACGUCGCAAGACCAAAGAGGGGGACCUUCGGGCCUCUUUCCAUCGGAUGUGCCCAGAUGGGAUUAGCUAGUAGGUGGGGUAACGGCUCACCUAGGCGACGAUCCCUAGCUGGUCUGAGAGGAUGACCAGCCACACUGGAACUGAGACACGGUCCAGACUCCUACGGGAGGCAGCAGUGGGGAAUAUUGCACAAUGGGCGCAAGCCUGAUGCAGCCAUGCCGCGUGUAUGAAGAAGGCCUUCGGGUUGUAAAGUACUUUCAGCGAGGAGGAAGGUGUUGUGGUUAAUAACCACAGCAAUUGACGUUACUCGCAGAAGAAGCACCGGCUAACUCCGUGCCAGCAGCCGCAGUAAGAC
rnacentral:rRNA from 1 species